rnacentral:rRNA from 1 species
CAGGGAUUGCCUCAGUAACGGCGAGUGAAGCGGCAACAGCUCAAAUUUGAAAUCUGGCGCAAGCCCGAGUUGUAAUUUGUAGAGGAUGUUUCGGGUGAAGCUACGGUCCAAGUCCCUUGGAACAGGACGUCAUAGAGGGUGAGAACCCCGUACCUGGCCGACAGCUCCCCCCGCUGUGAAACUCCUUCGACGAGUCGAGUUGUUUGGGAAUGCAGCUCUAAAUUGGUGGUAAAUUCCAUCUAAAGCUAAAUACCGGCCAGAGACCGAUAGCGCACAAGUAGAGUGAUCGAAAGAUGAAAAGCACUUUGAAAAGAGAGUUAAAAAGUACGUGAAAUUGUUGAAAGGGAAGCGCUUGCGGCCAGACUUGCCCGCGGUUGCUCAGCCCGCCUUUUGGCGGGUGCACUCUUCCGCGGUCAGGCCAGCAUCGGUUUGGGCGGCCGGAUAAAGGCGCUGGGAACGUGGCCUCCCCUCGGGGAGGUGUUAUAGCCCGGCGCGCAAUGCGACCAGCCCGGACCGAGGUUCGCGCUCUGCUAGGAUGCUGGCGUAAUGGCCGUAAGCGGCCCGUCUUGAAACACGGACCAAGGAGUCUAACAUCUAUGCGAGUGUUUGGGUGUCAAACCCGUGCGCGUAAUGAAAGUGAACGGAGGUGGGAACCGCAAGGUGCACCAUCGACCGAUCCUGAUGUCUUCGGAAGGAUUUGAGUAAGAGCAUAGCUGUUGGGACCCGAAAGAUGGUGAACUAUGCGUGAAUAGGGUGAAGCCAGAGGAAACUCUGGUGGAGGCUCGCAGCGGUUCUGACGUGCAAAUCGAUCGUCAAAUUUGCGUAUAGGGGCGAAAGACUAAUCGAACCAUUUGCAUACAGCAAGACUAGAUGGUCAAAGGGCGGAGAGCCUUAGUCCCCACGGGGGCCACAUUGCCAAACUGCGGGGAACGCCCACAGCCGGACGCCACCGCCCCCCC